UUAACCCAUUGAGCCACCCAGGCGCCCCUAAUGUCUUAUUUUUAAAUAAGCUCAUGGUUUAUGGCCUAAAUGUCCAAUAGCAAGGGAACGAGGACAUAAGUUCAGGUGCGCCCGCUGUGCGUGAGGGUCCUCGUGCGUCCAUUAGAGGAGACUUGUGGGACGCAGGGCAAACGGGAAGGUGUGGCAUCUGCUUCGAAAAGCAGGAAGACAUGUUCACAGAAAGUCCACAUGUCUGCAGACAGAGGCAGGAAGAGAGGUCAGUGCCGUCUUAGGGGUGGGACUAAAGGCAUGCUUCCCUGUUGGAAAGCCACUUAGCAUCAGUGAAAACUGGCUUUCAGAGGUGGAUUUGGCCACAAUUCGGGCAUUUUGCCAGUGAGUAGUCUGGAGCCUAAGACUGGGUGACAGUCCUGCCAUGGCUGGGGGAAGGAGGUGUCCAUCCUGCCUGUCAUGCCCAUACCCGCAGGUGGACAGGGCUCCUCUUGAGCAGCAGGUGUGCCCCCGCACUCUUGAGUGAGGGGCGAGCACUCAAGGAGGGUACAGCUGCCUUUCAGACUCCUGUCCGCCUUUGGCGCCACUUCCCUGAAGACCUGCACUCGGGGUCCCUAAGCGUCCAGUGAUGGAGUCCACGGAGUGGUUCUAGGUGUAUGGGAGGUCAGCCCCGUGUUUAAGAUUCUACAGCAGAAAUUGUUCUUGAGAUGAUACAUAGCCAGCCCUUCCUCAGCAUCAGCACACAAGGCUGACUGCCAUCAAAUUUAUUUUAAUUCUUGGAGCCUUUGAGAGCAAUGCCACUUGGGCCCUGCGCCGUGGACGUCCUUAGAGCUGCAGUCGUGGGGCAUCUCCCACUCGCUGGUGGAGACUUUCCGGCCGCUGCCUUACAUGCUUCUCAGCUCCACUGGAGCUCGCCUGCUGGGUUUCUCCACGGGCUGCGUGAACCAGCUUCAGACAGCUUGUUAGCGCCCUGGCUGCCAUCUGUCCACUCCUGCACUGUCUCACACCUCGAUUAAAUCCAUUCACACCGGCACUGUCCCAGCAGGCCCCUGGUCCCUGGCUCCCAGCCCAUGAGCCCCCGCUCAGAGACUUGCUUGGAACUCCUGCCCCACAUAGCAGAUGCGGACCGCUGAGUUGGAGUACUCAGGGCCAUCGGCCUCCAGGCACCUGCUUGCCCUCAGUGCGGCAUCUUCUACUCCUCUCUCUCCUGUGAAGCUCUGUGGAAGCUUGGCUUUUUGGAUUGUAACGUCAAAAAAAUUGUUUUCCAUCACAGUAUGUGAACAAGGACAUGCCCCAGGGCUCAGGUAGGAAUUUAGGCACCAAAUGAGCUUCUCUGUCUCUGUCUUAUCUGACAGAGCCUGUUCAGUUGGGAUUCCAUUUUAAAGGGCAAGUGCUUACAGCGUUACUGAUGAUUAAAAUAAAACUGAACAGACAAAAACGAGCCGUACCUGUGGCAGGAGGUUGUUUCUGUCUGCACAUGGCUGAAACACUGUUUGGAGAGACUGAGAGAGACAUGGAGACACAGAGACGGGGUGGGGCGAGCCUGACAUUCACGAGGGCGGAGGCGGACGUCAGUGUUAGAUUUUCUGUUCUUUGUGUCCUUUAUCCUCGAGUCGCAGCCACCUCCUCAUCCAGCUCCUGAGAAGAAUGUGACACUUAGUGCAUUUUUUCCACAUGCCUCCACUAAGACAUUCCUGAAGCUUCGUUUCCCGCACAGGCAGUGACAAAAGGCACAGAAUUGCAUCUUUGAGUGAGAGGCACGGCCGGAAUCUGUGUUUUCACACUCUGAAGGCAAAAGUAUGGCAGCCCGUGUCUUCUGAUUGGAUCAGCCCUACAGAUGUCUUUAUGUGUUCUGUCCAAGUAUUUUUUAGAAUAGUUCUGUCAGGAAAAUCAUAGGGGACUCUCUGGUUUUGAAGAACUGAGUGGUGUUUUAAUACUGUUAUGAGGUGUGCUACACAUUCUGCUUCCUUACAGUUCACUUCCUGUCCACCCUGGUCCAGGCAGGAGUAGAAAGAGAAGUUUUUUCGGACUGUUCAGAGAAUAGAUAUGAAAGGAAUAACAGUUGAAACCUUUCAACAUGUGUAUAAAAGACACAGAAUGUGUCAUAAACACAUUUUUCUAAAUUCAUUACAGUGCGUUACGUGUCAUUCUUUGAGCUGGCAGAUCUUUCAGCUGUGUAUGAGAAACAUAACAGAGUAGUUGCAAUUUAGUAUAAUCUGUUUAAAAUACAUGCUCCUCCCUCUCUGAACAAUCUGUCCAAAAUGCAAUCCAUUCAUGUGGGAUUUCGCCUGUACAGCCCUGAGUGGGAAUCAGUAGUUUCUUUGUUCGUCACUAUGGAAACAAGUCAGCCUAUCCCCGACGGCUGUCGGAUCUCGCAGGCUGCCGCUGCCGCUGCCAUCCCCUCGGCCGCAGCUCUUCCCGCUGGGAGCCCAGCCAUGCAGGACCUGCCCCGGCGGUGCUCGGCCCUGCCCUUCCUCAGCGCCUUCUUCCAGGGCCGCCGGCACUCAUCCUCGGACCCCAUCCCGCAGCAGGGCCGGCGCGGCUCGGCCGCCCAGACGCUCUCCUCGGCCUCCCUCCAGGUGAUGGUGGCAGUGGCCUCUGUCAGCUGUGCCGAAAGAAACCCAACUUGCCUCCAGAGAAAAAGAAAUUCAGGACGUCCGACACCGAAGUAUACAAAAGUCGGAGAGCGUUUGCGGCAUGUGAUUCCUGGACACAUGGCCUGCUCCAUGGCGUGUGGUGGCAGAGCAUGCAAGUAUGAAAACCCGGCCCGCUGGAGUGAGCAGGAGCAGGCCAUUAAGGGGGUCUACUCGUCAUGGGUCACUGAGAAUAUCCUGGCCAUGGCUCGCCCGUCCACAGAGCUCCUCGAGAAGUAUGGCCUCAUUGAGCAGUUCCAAAGUCAUGGCAUAAAAACAGUCAUCAACCUGCAGCGCCCUGGCGAGCAUGCCAGCUGUGGGAACCCUCUGGAACAAGACAGUGGCUUCACAUACCUUCCUGAAGCUUUCAUGGAGGCUGGCAUUUAUUUCUACAAUUUUGGAUGGAAGGAUUAUGGUGUAGCAUCACUCACCACCAUCUUGGAUAUGGUGAAGGUGAUGACAUUUGCCUUACAAGAAGGAAAAGUAGCGGUCCAUUGUCAUGCAGGGCUUGGUCGAACAGGCGUUUUAAUAGCAUGUUACUUGGUUUUUGCGACAAGAAUGACCGCUGACCAAGCAAUUAUAUUUGUUCGGGCAAAGCGACCCAAUUCCAUACAAACUCGAGGACAGCUGCUCUGCGUCAGGGAGUUUACUCAGUUUCUGAUUCCUCUUCGCAAUAUAUUCUCUUGCUGCGACCCCAAAGCGCAUGCCGUGACUUUAGCCCAGUAUCUUAUUCGCCAGCGGCAUCUGCUUCACGGGUAUGAGGCCCGACUCCUGAAACACGUACCCAAAAUUAUCCACCUCGUCUGCAAAUUGCUGCUGGACUUAGCCGAGAACAGGCCAGUGGUGACGGCAGAGGUGGCAGAAGUGCCCAGCCUGUCCGCCGAGAUUGAGAAGACGGUUUCUGAGAUGAUCACCCUGCAGCUGGAUAAGGAGUUGCUGAGGCAGGGCAGCGACGCAUCCGACUGCUUCCCUGCCACCGCAGUGGCCACGGAUUUUGAGAAUCAGGAUGGGAUUCUUUCCAGCGAGCAAGGGAUUGACCCUCUCUGGAAGAGGCGGAAUGUCGAGUGCCUUCAGCCCCUGACUCACCUGAAGAGGCGACUCAGCUACAGCGACUCAGAUUUAAAGAGGGCCGAGACGCUUCUGGAGCACGGGGAGACUCCGUGGACGGGGCCUGCCCAGGCCUUGCUUGGCCGUAACCCCAGGCCGCAGAAGCCCGUAAGCCACUGUUACACCCCCCAGUCUCCACAGCUUGAGCCAAGUAAGGAAACGCUUGUCCGAAAUACAUUCUCUUUCUGGAAUCAGGCUAAAUUUGGAGGUCUGGAAGGACUCAAAGAUGAGGAGUCACCGCUUUUCCAUAGGGAGACUGUUGCAAAGGAAGUACAGCGGAGUCGAACCUUCUCUUCGGGUGUUUCAGGUUUAUACAACCCUAGGGAGCCAGUUACACCGAACCUUGCAGAUACCCCGACGGAAUCAGACAGUUCUUCCCAGCAAGUGCCCCGCUGUCAGUACGAAACUCCCGCCGGUUGCUGCUCCGACAUGCCCCGCAGGCCCCUGGACUGUGGCUUCAGCCCCAAAGCACCCUUUUCCGGCGGACACAGCCAAGCCCAGGACAGCAGAGAUGUGUCCGCAGCUGCUGCACACGGUGUUGUGCAGUCUGGACUGAGUGCCGAAGCCAGGAGAGUACUGGCAGCCAAAGCCCUGGCAAGCUUAGAUGAGUUGGCAGAGAAGGAGGAGGUGAAGAGGAAGGUAGAAAUGUGGCAGAAAGAACUAAAUUCCCGAGAUGGAGCUUGGGAAAGAAUAUGUGGCGAAAGGGACCCUUUCGUCCUGUGCGGUCUGAUGUGGUCGUGGGUGGAGCAGCUGAAGGAGCCCGUGAUCACCAGACAGGACGUGGACGCGCUGCUCGGCAGCCACGCGGACACCGCGGACGCGCUCUCUCUGCUAGAGAAGGGCCAGCACCAGACCAUUCUCUGUGUGCUGCACUGCGUUGUGAGCCUGCAGGCGAUCCCUGCCGACGUGGAGGAAGCCAUCCUCACCCGCGCCAUUAAAGCCUUCACCAAGCAGGUUAAUUUUGACUCUGAAAAUGGACCAGUAGUUUACAACACCCUAAAGAAAAUAUUUAAGCACACACUGGAAGAAAACAGGAAAAUGAUGAAAGAUGGCCCUCAGCCUGAUGUUUAGUGACACUUCCCAGCGCUUCCCUGGUGGCUGGCGGACAUCUCAGACCUGGGGACCCAGAUGGCUUUUCUGCGCACAGAUGAGCAGUCUCACAUGGGCAGGUGCCAGCACGGCUCAUUGGACAAGUGGCUGUUGGCCUGUGUGUCUGAGAUGGUCCCGUGCAGCCCCGAUGUGACCAUGGCAUUGCGCCAGACUGAGGAAGAGAGCCGGUGGGAGAAGCAAAUCGGCUGCCUGCAGGCUUUGUAUGUAUUGGAAUAAAAGUGAAAAGAACAACCCACAGCCCUCGUAUAUCUUUAGCUUGGAGCUUCUGGUGACACAGUUGUGGCUGGUGACGGGACGGUCCUGAUGGGCGGACUGGGUCAUGGGCUGGACGUCAGCCAGGCUCUGGUCGGCCCCAGCUCUGUUGUCCAGAUGAGCCGGCGGGGACGGGAGGAGGGAGGAGAGAGAGCUCAGGAGGAGCAGGCGCGCGGAGUCCGUAAGGCCGGCGGGGUUCCUGCCUUUCUACAGUUGAGUGGGUGAGUUCUCUGCAGCCCAAGGGAUAGUUCCACUGACCAGAAGAACUUCGGGAUUCAGCUUAACAGAAGUGUGAAGGGUCAGGAGCACACACUCAGAACUGAGGCCAUGGGCGUGCCUGUGCAUUGUCUGGGUUCCUUCCGUACCGGCGAGAAGUAUUGUUCAUACGUGCCUGUUGAAGGAGUCCCAGACUGACGACUCCAGUCCUGCCUGUCUCCCUCCCAAGCCACCUGCCUGCCUCUGGUGCUCCCGACAGAGGGCCCAGCUGGGAAAAUGGGCCCUGUCACUCCUGGGCUCUGUGGUGGCUCCCUAGAGCAUCGUGUUCUUUGUCACGUAGUGAAAGUACCCAUCUUCUCUGUCCUCUGGAGACAGCUGAGCUGCUGUGUUACUGUCGCAUGAUCUCAACUGUCUCACUUAGGAAGUGCAGGACUUGCGGCCACUUACGGUUUUCCUUCUAUCUGAGAGCUCGCCGAUGCCCUCUGCGCCAAAGUGCUGCUGACUUUGAGGUUGCUUUAUCUGUUUGCAGAGCUCAGAAACGCCCUGUCAUAUGGUUGGUCGUGUCUUCAGCCAGAUCCCCAGUCUUAUCUCGGGAAGCGCGUGUGCUUCCAUCAUGCCAGAGUCCAUGCAAAACAACGUGUCACGCUUCAGAGAAGUUUCUGCUUUCUCCUAAAUGGAGGACUCCUGCUCAUGAGCUUGUCUGCGGUUUCAACCAGUUCUCUAGACAUCUCAGGACAUCUCUGGAGACGAUAUGCUGCAGAAAGAGUGCACACCCCAAGUUCCCAAUAUCUGAAGGUGAUUUUCGGGAUCGAUUAAAUCUGACAGUUUACUUAGGACAUCUUUGUUCUUGCUUCACGUGAACAAGGGUUGAUAUAUUUUCGGUGCAAGUAAAUCAAGAAUGACAUUCCCUUUGGUGCUUUUUAUGAAUAUGGCUCAAGAGUAUCACCUUCUCUAAAGGAACCUACUCGGGACGCCUGAGUGGCUCAGUCAGUCGUUAAGCGUCUGCGUUCAGCUCAGGUCAUGACCC